rnacentral:rRNA from 1 species
AAUACAUGCAAGUCGAGCGGACAGAAGGGAGCUUGCUCCCGGACGUUAGCGGCGGACGGGUGAGUAACACGUAGGUAACCUGCCCCUUAGACUGGGAUAACUCCGGGAAACCGGAGCUAAUACGGGAUAAUAAAGAGAAUCACCUGAUUUUCUUUUGAAAGACGGUUUCGGCUGUCACUAAGGGAUGGGCCUGCGGCGCAUUAGCUAGUUGGUAAGGUAACGGCUUACCAAGGCGACGAUGCGUAGCCGACCUGAGAGGGUGAUCGGCCACACUGGGACUGAGACACGGCCCAGACUCCUACGGGAGGCAGCAGUAGGGAAUCUUCCGCAAUGGACGAAAGUCUGACGGAGCAACGCCGCGUGAGUGAGGAAGGCCUUCGGGUCGUAAAGCUCUGUUGUGAGGGAAGAACAAGUACCGGGGUAACUACCGGUACCUUGACGGUACCUCACCAGAAAGCCACGGCUAACUACGUGCCAGCAGCCGCGGUAAUACGUAGGUGGCAAGCGUUGUCCGGAAUUAUUGGGCGUAAAGCGCGCGCAGGCGGCUCCUUAAGUCUGAUGUGAAAUCUCGGGGCUCAACCCCGAGCGGCCAUUGGAAACUGGGGAGCUUGAGUGCAGAAGAGGAGAGUGGAAUUCCACGUGUAGCGGUGAAAUGCGUAGAUAUGUGGAGGAACACCAGUGGCGAAGGCGACUCUCUGGUCUGUAACUGACGCUGAGGCGCGAAA